rnacentral:misc_RNA from 1 species
CUCAAAUAACAAAACAGUUUUUUCCAUAUUAUUUUUCUCAACAGUAUUUAAAAUAAUAAUUUUUUUUUGUCAAAAGCAUUUUUAGCCCUCCAACUUCAAUGUCAAAUAGGCACUAAAGAGGGACACUUACAAUCCACACAAACAGUUCAAAGUUUGGUACCUUACUUUCUUCAACUUGCCAAUGGCAAAACAGGCUCAAUCUAUUAAGUAGCAAUCCCAUUGAAAAAUAUAAGUUCUAAUUUGACAUCGCAUGGGUUAUAACACAGCCAUAUAUUUGCAUGGGACUAGCUGAUUCCACAAAUAAGCUUUGUAAGGUGCUCAAGCUUCACAAAAUUACUAAGGAUGUUUGAAAUAUAUAUAUAUCCAAACUUCAAAGAUUAUUAUUUCAUUUCAGUUUCCAUAAAAUAUGAACAUUGGCAGAUCUGGAGGGGUCUAUGGCCAAGCCAAUGCAGUACCAUGGCUUAGACAGAAAUUUAAAAAAAAAAAAUCAGGUAUUAAAAAUGCUUUUAGACACUGGAUCAGAGAUGGAGGGGCAGUGAACUGUACCAUAGAAAACGCUGCUCCAUAAUAAGGAUAAGCUGCAGGAAUGAAUCUUUCAUAUUCAUUGUGCCUAUAGGGACGGACUGGAAUCUGCUUUGAUAGGGAUAAGGUCGUAUAUCCAAGUCUUCUGUACUCAAUUUUGAACUGGAAAACCCCAUAAACAUCAGGAACCUUGAAAGCAGUAUAAUAGAGACCCUUCUUAUCAGUUGAUAAGGUUUUCAACACAUAAGGACUCAUCAUGUAAAACUGUAAUUGAACAUCAUCUGCUACAUAUGGUUCCCAACUUGUUCCAGACCACUCAUAAAUUUCGACUGAGUAUUCCAAGUCGUCUUUGAUUCUGUACAAUGAAGGUUCAUCUGCUUUCCCAACUUUGUGGUGUCUUACUUUCACAGCCUUCAGAUGACCUCUCUCAUGGAAAAUCCAUUUGCUAAGUUCAACCAAAAAUUGCUCAUUGCCAGAUUUCUCAUGUUUUGUUGAACUCCCUGCCUUCUGCAACCCAGAUCUAAAAAAUCGAUUUCCGAACAGGCUUAAUGAGCCAGCAAUCAAAAUCCGAGCAUUAUCUCUUGCCUGCACUAUAGAUACCAAAGAGAUAGCAGUUCCGGUAAGAGAUGGAGGAUUUGACAACUUGGUCUUGGGAUUAGCUGAAUAGGAUGAAGGAGAAGCUGAGAGAACUUUUGUUACCAAGGUAUUGGCAGGAUUUAACGUGUGAGCAAUCCCCUGGAAAAGUACAGGAGCGUCAAUUUUCUUGCUGCCCAAUAUCACAUCAGACUUAAUGAAGUCAUCACUAGCAAUCAGCGUAUGAUCUCCUUCAAUCUCCGAUACCGCGUAGCUAGUGUGAUCAAUAACCAUAGCCGCAGGAUCCUCAUCGAAAUCGGCUCCAUUCUCGGUGGCAAUUUCACGAAUCGAUUCAGAGGCAUUAGUAUCAGCCGCAAUUAUCAAAUCACGACCCGAAUCAACAAAAUCAAGAAUUGCAGCGACAUCAACUGGUCCCCCAAACAGCUCAGCGGUGGGGCAGAAAAGAAUUAACGCGUCGUAUAAGUACUGGCCGUAACGAUGGAGUCCGAUUUUGGGAUCGUCUGCGAGCUUAAACUCGAGAUGGAAGCCGCGAGAUUGCAGGGACUUGAAGAACAAAGAAUGCGAUGAUUUGAUGGCGAAAUCGUCUAACAAGACGAGGACACGGCGGUGUGUAGCAGAUUCAGAAGUAAAGGAAUAACAGAGAAAUGGAAGGAAUUGUAGUAUAGUUAGGAGGAUUACGAGCUUUUUCGCCAUUUCUGGAGAUUGAGGUUGAGUGGAAUUGCAGAGUGACUGAGGUAUUUUUUU